GUCUCCGGCGCAGCGAAACUCAGCGGGUGAGGCAACAUCUAUGGAGCGAAGGAAAUAGGCAACGUUUCAGGUCGAAACCCUUCCUCAGACUCAAAUCUGAAAGUCACCUAUUCCUUUGCUCCAUAGAUGCUGCCUCACCUGCUGAGUUUCUCCAGCAUUUUUGUCUACCAUAGAUCCAUUGAAGAUAUUUGGGCAGGUACAUGAUGGGAGAGUUUUGGAGCGAUAUGGGGAAAACGUGGGCAGGUGGGACUAUUGUAGAUGGGACAUUCUGGGUUGGCAUGGGGAACCUGGGCCAAAGGGCCUGUUUCCGUGCUGCCUGGCUCAACGAUGGAACCCAAACAAGAUGACAGAGAAAAUUGUAUCUUUUAAGAUUAGCGAGGACGAGAAAAAUGCAGUCAACCCACCUGAAGGAGUGGUGGGACCAGUUCAACUGGAAUUCCACCAGUCUUUGUCAGCCUCAUUGCUUGAGGGCCUCAAGGAGAAAAGGCAGGGAGAAAAGCGUCACGAAAACCACGAAACACGACACCUCCCAUUGCCACAUAAGGAACCUGUUACUAUAUCACAAAAAAUCAUAACCGAUGUGGGUCAGAAGGAGCAGGUACCAGACGAGGAGAUAACCUGCCCCAGCUAACAAUCCCAAAGUACUUCUUCAACCAACGUUCGAAUUUGAGAAAGGAUUAAAUAUCGAACGCUUAUUUCAACGAGAGAAUCUCGCUGAGUCACAGAGUGACUACACCAUGGAGCAGCCUCAUUAUCUCUUGUUACUGCUAAUUAUAGGUUCCACCACACUACAGGCAGCAGCACAAAGUAGUACAUCUGAACCAACAACUUAUACAACAGAAUCACCGACUACAUCUGAACCAACAACUUAUACAACAGAAUCACCGA